UUGUCUUGUCUCGUCCAGGUGUUCCUCGUUGUCACAUCAAUUAGCUUGAAUUCAGUUUCCUGAGCUCUGUCAGUCUUGUUGUGUUACUGCGAUGUUUUGUUUCUAUUGCAGUCGUGUUUUGUUUCCCGUAGUGGUUGGUGUUUUAGUUCCUGGUGUUUUGUUGUUACUUUGAAUUUUGAUCUUUUCAAGGCUUUGUUAAUGCGCUCCCAUUUCGUUUUUCCAGUGUUUUGUUCAUACAUUUUGUUCAGUCCACCCUGCUUAUCCUGCCUGCCUGCUCUACCACCACGCUACAUGACCGUAUCAAUGUUCAGUGUGCGCUCAACUUGGAGAGGAAGGCGCCGUCGGGUUGGCCUCGACAUCCCCUUCUUUUGGGGGGGGGGAUGUUUGCACGACCUGACUCCAGCUCCCUUGCCUCGGAGAGAUUGCGGCCUGUGUGCUUUGGAUUCUCCCAAGUUGCUCCUGCCAAGCAAGUCUGAAGUCUGAAGCAUGAGGCUAAGAGGAAGAGAAGGAUAGUAGCAAUCAUGGGAACACCUACUGUAUCUCUGUGUGAUCUCAUCCAACGUCAGUCUGGAAGCGUUUAUGUGGGAAUUUGCCCUGCAAAUUGAAGCAGCAACAGAAGUUGUCGUCCAGAAGAUUUUCACACCGUCGACACAACGUCAAAACAAUGGUUGACUGGGAGAAAAUUAAACAAACUAGUCCUGGGGGAGCAAUUCAAGAUGGCUGCCACCUGCGUGUCAAGGUUUCAGGUGAGUCAUCCUGUCAAGACAAUCACUGAGCCUCAAUUUCUUUUUGAAUUACACUAAGGGAUUGAUUAAGGACAAAUUUAGUCAGUUCAGAUUAAAUUUAAUACUACAUUUGAAUCAGCACCCAAAUUAGUAAAGUGUGCGCUCACGGUGAACGAUUUUUUUCUCAGAACACUCUCAAGAUAAAUGUUUUUGCUCAAUAUUGCGAUUGCAAUUUAGUAUGCAAGCUUUUUUUUCCACAGUUUUCUUCCCAUGUAUUUCUGAACCAUCGCAAACGAUAAAUUCAUCUGUAUUACAACAAACAAAAUCAGAUUUAUGAUGCCAAAAUAUUUUGGGUUUGACUGGUUUUGGCUCUCGCUAAUAUAAAGACAAAUGAACCAUGAAUCAAUAUGAACGUUUAUUUCUCUACUUCAAAGUUUGAUUUGCAUUCACAAAAGCAACUUCGUAAAAUUCGACCAGACAAGAGAUUUAUCAGUCCGAUAACAAAAAUAAUGCAACGUUUCAAGAUUCAUGAAACUCGGGCUUCCAGUGUGUGUUCAACCUGAUGAACGACGCCAGUUGUCCUGUGGAUAAAACACCAUUUAAAAUGUUUUUUAACUGUAUAUUCAUCAAUACACUCAGACCUAAAAUGUUUCAGUUGUGAACAUUUAUUAUACCGAAAAUAAUCUACCUGUGGUUGUGUGUAUAAGCAUAAACCUGUAUCAAAUAUGUUUAACUUUUUUGUUGUUGUUUAUUGCAAAUAGACAUAUUAAUUCGUUUUAUUUUUUAAAAAAAAGUUUGUAAAGUUUGUCGAUUGAUGGUUGCUGUUGUCAUCUGUUCAGUAUAGCUGGACAUAUGUAUCAAGUAUUGAAGCAAAUUGACAAACGAUGUGGCUCUGAUUCUUGAUGGGUUGCAGUCACAGGCAAAAUGCUUUCAGCAGACGUCCUGCUGAUUCACCCGAAACCAAUUUGCAACGCAAAGGAUGGUACGGCAAGUAGAGAAAGAAGUCAGGAAGUCUAUCUAGGCACGCACACCGUCAUGAAUGAACAUAUACUCUGCGUGUAUGUGCGUGUGUCUAUGUGUGUGUGUGUGUGUGUGUGUGUGUGUGUGUGUGUGUGUGUGUGUGUGUGUGUGUGUGUGUGUGUGUGUGUGUGUGUGUGUCUAUAUAUACAUAAAUUGUGCUUUUUACAAUUUAUAAUCAGAUUGCUCUUUAAUCAAAAAAGGAAGAUGAGUCUAUCCUUACUCUUAACAAGCCCUGUACAUGUAUUUUGAUUUAUUUUGUGACGUGUCAACCAAAACUGUAGAUAUUAAGCACUGUACGUGACCUGUAAAAUAUAAUAAGCCUAUUUAGAAUAGUGCAGCACUCUAGUCCAGUAAAAUAAAAUGGACCUUUGUUUCA